GUGGACUAUGCAGUGUAUCAGGGAGGCACUGGGACAAAAUGGUAAGCAAAAUAAAACUCAACUUGAUGGGAUUUCCAGUCAAGUGUCAACUAAUCCCGCAAGGUCCUGUGCAUUUACAAAGUGUGAUGAUUCUUGUGAAGGAAAAGGAAGGAAAGCCAUAGAGCAUUGAGAGCCGAGGGUUUGACUUACUUUCAGCAUCAAGAAAGAUUCCCUUAAAGAAAUCAUAUCUAUGUAUGAUUUGAGGGAAUGGACAAAGAAACAGGUCAGGAAGUCAUAAGCUGAAAGUGCCAGCCUGAUAUGGCCUGGGCCAUGAGGGUCAAAGCAGGGUCUUGGAACUCCAAGGGCAGUGUGACAAAGCACAGUGACAACCAGGAGUGCGCAUGAGGGUGAAGUGGGAGAGCCAUCAGGCCAGGACCCCUUAAGAAUCCUGUUCUGCAUUGGAAUGAGGAUAGAAAGUCUCUGGAGCUUAUAUGCUACCAUUUCCCCUUUGGGCAUCAACAUGGAGAUGGAGGAAGUGUGUGGCUUUUCCAGCCGAAGCACCCUGGAGGGUCAACUCAAAGCUGGACACCCCAUGGUUUCUCCUGGCCAUACCCAUCCGCAGCCUGCCAUGCAGGAGGCUGGGGCUGGGAUGGGGCAAAUUUUCUUACAGGACUGGUGACUGGGGGAUGGGGCAAUGCACAACUGACACAGGGAAAGGCUGAACAUAGGAGGAAUGGGAUUCCAUCAGAGCAAUUUGCCCAGCUUUUUUCUUUAUUUCCUUAUACAUUUUUAAAGCAUAUGUAUUGCUAGUAAAAGUGCUGGCUGGACAAAGCUCACUCCUGCUGUGCAUGCUGCCUUUUCUUUUCUGAAUAUCUGUGAACCUCUCUAGGCAUUUUGUCUCUUGGACAUGGACUGGCAGAGAAACUUAGUCAGUGUGGAUUCCCAGUUUGCUUUUGCAGGAGGCUUUGCUGGCUUGCUGGCAGCCCUGCCUGGCUAGCUCCAGCCCUGCAGGGCCCAGGAUGCAGGCUUGCAGCACCAGAUGGAGAGAGGGAAGGCAGACCCAGUGAGGGUACCCAGGAGGAGAAGCAAAGGCCCAAGAAGAGGGAGCAUGUGCAGGGCUUUCUGGACAGGAGCCCAGCCUGGAACAACUCUCCUGAUUUGGGGAAAAUAAAAUCACAAAUGAGAAUAGCAGGAGGCCAAGAACCAGCUGGAGACAAAGGAGUGUUAGCUUCUAGUGGAGGCUUCGAGACCAGAAAGGCUCUGAUGACAUGCUCAAAAGUCUGACCUGCCUCGGACAGCUGCCAUCCAAGCUUUGGGCCUGGAAUGUUGUCACAA
rnacentral:lncRNA from 1 species